rnacentral:misc_RNA from 1 species
GCUGUUGCUAAAGAGCUUCAGGGAACCAAAAUUAAACCUCUGUGGGUUACAGCACAACUCUUCAUGCACCCUCGAUACAUGCACGGUGCUGCUACUAGCUCUGAAGUUGGCGUAUAUGCAUAUGCUGCUGCCCAAGUCAAGAAAGCAAUGGAGGUUGCUCAUCAUUUGGGGGCAGCAACCUAUGUAUUCUGGGGUGGCCGCGAGGGUUAUCAGAGUCUACUGAACACAGACAUGGGGAGAGAGCUCGAUCAUAUGGCUAGGUUUUUUCAAGCUGCCGUUGCCUACAAGAAGAAGAUUGGAUU